ensembl:antisense 9330171B17Rik RIKEN cDNA 9330171B17 gene
GCGACUGCCGCGGAGCCCACUGCAGGGCAGGGCACGCGCCGGCCGCGAUGGAUGAUGCGCGUUUCCGAGCGGUGUCGCGGCGGCCCGCGCGCACCCGCCGCCUGUUCCUCAGGGACGCGCUCGGCCUCUGGACGCCAAUUGACUGUGGCGCGAUUGCGGAUGUUCUGAGCACGGCUGGCGUAGUUUAGGGUGUUGAGGGUCUCAUCGAAGUCGGAGGAGGAGGGGCUGACGCAGGCGAUCAUCACUGUCUUGGCAUUCCCUCCCAGAGAGUCUUUGAGGAUCCUGUGAGCACGAGGAUGAUAAGCGUCAGUGCCUUGGCUCUUGUGAGUACUGACCUGGCACCAUCGGCCUAGAUUCAAAGCCACCUUUCCUGGGGGGUUCCAUGAUCCCACCCGAACCCAGAGAAAUGGGCCAUCUCACCGGGUGAUCUUGGAGUCACGGUAAGGGAUGUGGCUGCCUCGGCGCUGGGGGUCCCCCAGAGCGCUAAUGACAUUUCCCAGCGCCAGCAGGGUGCUGUUAAUUUGGAUGCUCUCUUUGAGCCGUUCUCCGGUGCUGCCAGUCUUCAGAACCCUCUCGGAGCCUGCCAGGUCCACGAAGUGGAAUUUGGAGACCAGCAGGUGGCCAGCGGCGGGUCGAGGCAAACGGCUAGGAGUCCGUCCCCGCUGCUCCAGGGUCACAGUGAAGACUGUGUGUGAGCGGCUGGAGAGGCGGUUGAAGUGUGUGGCGCCUGUGUGGCGCGCAGCGUUGCCCAUCUCUAGGAGGCUCAGCACCUCGUCCAGGCCUUCUACGUCCACUUCUUUCACCCCACAGAGCACUGUGGAAACAACACUGUAAGCAUCUCCCCUGCAGACAGCCAGAAGACAAGCAAAACCAUCCAGGCCUCCUACCUGCUCUUCCUCACCCAGAGUGCCCGGAGUCCCUGCUUUUCUGCACUUACCUUAAUGUUUCCCACUCUGGAAACAGAAGCCCAUACUGAACUCACUGCAGACAGCAAACAAACCCACCAUCCAGGGCCUGGAUUUCCCUUGAGGAAGUGUCUCUCCCAGACAGGUUAAGCCAGCCCACCCUCAGAGCAGACAGGCAGGCCUUGCUUGCCAAAGGCCUCCCUCCCAGUCAUUAGAGGAUUCCCAAGCUUUCUCACCAACAUUUCCCCGAUCAUCUUCCCGAAGCUGGAUGUCCCGGCUGGCAGUGCCCACUUCUAGCAGAUCUCGGAACUCUUCCUUGUAGAGUUCCAGGUAGGAUACAUGCACCAGGCAGUCCAGCAGGUCAUUCUCAUCAAUGAGCUUGAAGGCCUCAGCCAUGGCCCUUGGGAUGAUACCUUGUUCAUCUUCAUGCAGGGAGGCUGGGGAGAUACCACAGUGUCUCCUGCCGCCAUGCCCCCCUCCCCAGCUAAACCUGGCCCAAGUAUCCACCAGCACCACACCACAGCAGCAGCAGCUUGAGAAUGGGGCUGUAGGGUGGAGAAGACAAUGGCAGAGGCCAAGGAGAGACAGCCUCUGCUAGGCCGUGCUCCAGGAUAGGGAAGGAGAAUUGGAGACUUCAAGCAACCUCUCAUGGUUUAAUCAACCGCUUUCCUGAUGCACCCUCCUUAUCCCAUUCCCAACAGAUUAUCAGAUACCCUGGACUUGAUUACUCCUUGGGACAAGUAAGUCACUACCAUGGCCCAUGCACAGCUAACUGAUGGGCCUCUUAAUUUGCUUCAAAAGUAGAGUGUUCAUCCUAAUAUCCCAUAGUAAAGUUUGCUUAAGUAUACUUGCAACAGAAUGCCAGGAAGUUAUCAAAUAAAAAGAAGACUGGAAGACUAGGGGUGUAGCUUCACGGCAGAGCACUUGCCUAACAUAUGAGCACCCAAGUUCAAUAUACAGCAACACACACACACACACACAUGACUGAAGAAUACUUAAUGAUAAGUGUUCCUUAUCGUACAUAUCAUCACAUAUAUGGUCUUUAUCGCUAUCCCCAAUUCAAAGUAGACGGCUCCACAUAUUAAGUCAAAAACUAAGGUAAUAUUUUAUAGCCAGAAAAUUUCAGAUGCCGACAGGUGUUGUGGUGCAUAAACCAUGAACAUUUAAAAUUAAAUAUUGUUCAUUUG